UGGGAUGGGUGAUUUGGAGAGGGAUUUCUAUAUUGUUUAAUAUAUAUCCUGCUCAUCGGCGUCUCGUUGAUGGCGGUUGCCACCGUGUGCCUCUGGUAUUAAUUAGUAUGACGCGCGGGCAGGCAAACGGGGGUAGAGGGCGGGGGGGGGGGCUUCGAAUCCCCAGCCCCCCCCCCCCACCACCCCCGCCACAGACACCAACACCGUCCUCCUCGCGCUCCAUCGGCUGCUCAGAGUGGCGCACGCUACAAUGAAGAUGAGCUCCGUGUACGGGUGGCGUUGCAUAUGCAAGAGCCUACGCGCGACGGCAGGGAGUGGAGUGUCGCACAUGGUGGACCUGAGUUCGAUCACGGCUCACGCAACAGUGGGGUGAGUGACAUCGAAGGAUACCCCUCCCCACCAGUCGAGUGCGGUGAAGUAUGGUCAAACGUCCUCCGCGACCAGCGCAGCGCGCGGGAAGACAACGUAGAGCAGUGGACUGCCAAUGGGCUGUGCUCUGGUUAUGGUUAGUUUAUGUUUGAUAUUGCCACCGUCAAGCGUUUGAACUGCACGUAACAAUGAGGACACCAAUUCAAGCUGCUGUCGCUACUGCGUCAGAACCCUCAACACAGCUGCACUGCUAUCAUUCCGCUUACGUCAACCACCAGGAAGGAUUAUUGAUUGAUUAUUAUAGUUGGUUAAAACUGGCUGACGGCCAAUGGACAUUGAGCAAUAAUUUUCUGCUUGGACAACUGUAAUUACACGGUCGUACAUUGCUAUCAUAUAUAGUCGUGGGUCAUUGUGAUGAAUAAAUAAAUACAAUCGAUAAAUAAAAAUGGAGACUGGUUAAUGACACCGCACGGCCUCUGGUGGAGCAUCGAUGUCACGCGGUAUUUAACGUGCAUCUCCAGCAGACGGCGCGUUUUGGUGCAGCCUGCCGGCGACACCUACAUCGUUCCAGGAAGGAGACACCACCACCACCCCCCCCCCCCCCCCCAUGAGUAAGGUCACUUGUCGUUCCGUCUCGUGCUGCGACGAAGGAUUUAUCUCACCUGUACGGAAUUGGGUCUUGUGUUUCCAAACUCAUGCAGAAGAACGCACCAACGUUCGACCCGGCAACUUCGCUUUGUGCUCGAUCCGCUUAGGUGAAGUGGACACCCCGAGGUUGGACUGUCGCGCCGUGCGAGUAUGUGGUGGCGCCUCUAUGCACAGACCACCUCGCGCGUUGCUCUGGCGCGAGACUCCUCCUGGACAGCGACGCCUCAAGCCGGAGGGUCAAACAGACGGUGGCAGGAAUCGAACCGUCAACGUUGCCGCUCGCUGGCUCUUGCAAGUUGGCUGGGUGGGGGGGGGGGGGGCCUAGGCGCCAGGCUGCCCGGUCCCUUGUACGACAAGAACAUCACAACGAGAAACAUCACCCCCGUCACGUGGGGUGCCAUGCAAGAAUGAAGCGCUGAACUUUAAGACCGCCUCUGAUGAAGGUGAAUAAUUUAUAGGGACUCGCUAUCGAGCGUGUGUCUCUGCAUGGGGCCCCAGGUGGCGGGUGACCCCCCACCCCCCCGAUGGACUUUGGUCGCUCGGCGGGAGGUCAACCCCCUUACCCGAGUUUGGGUUCUCAGCCCCCCCCCCCCCCCCAAGUCUCUGAAGAGCCCCGCCUUGAGAAUCUCUUUGAAGAGUCUCAGGUGGACGCUGCGGGACAACUCCGCAGUGUGAAUUUGGUGAACAACAACAACAACAACACAAACUUCACACAAAUGAAACACCGAGUGGACAGCUGUCCACUCUCGCUCCUUCCCCACAGGAAAAACCAUCUUCGGAAUUCACUGGGACAUUCACUCAAGUCGUUUGAUUGAAUUUUAAAACGUGACAUCGUACCGUGUAGAAUGCCGCUAUCACUCCAUACGAUGACCUCAUCAUCGUCAUCGUUGUCGUCUUCAUACGUGAGGCUGCGGGUCUCUAUGAGGAUCGCCACCCUUUCUACCAUAGACUAAAAACCCGCACAUAGUUCUCAGUCAGCCUGCGUCUUCUAUCAAACUGAGCAGGCUCCUGAAGUGAAGUUCAACACAACACCAGUCGGUCACCAGAUCUUGGACAGGUGACAAUCUUAUAGUUACGACGUGAGUCUACGGGUCUCCAUGCGAGUCUGUGGGUCUCUAUGUAAAUAUAUAUAUUAACAUAUCCAGUACUCUAAAUGCAUGUUUCAAAAUGUGGAGGAAAAAACCGCAGGGCCCGGAGGAAAUCCACGCGACCACGGGGAGAGAGACACGCCGACUCCAAAUAUACAGCAGGCGUCAAGGUCGGUAUCGUACCCACGUCUUCCUGUAUACCAGGCGAGGUUGUUAACAUCUCGGCUGCGUGGCGCCCCCAGAGUGAUGGUACGAGGGGAAAGUGAUGGCACAUGAGAGAUGGCAUAUGUCGGGACCGAUGGGUCAUGAAGUGAUGGGAUAUGGAGUGAGUUAUGGGACACGGAGUUGUAACCUGGUUCAACAAAAUAAACUUCAGACUCGGAAUGAGUGAUGGGACAUGGCGUGAGCGUUGGGAUGUGGAGAGAGUGAUGAAUCAUAGAGAGAUUGGGACACAACGCAAGUGACGAUUGGACAAAGAGAGUGCUGGUGGACACCAGCGCCGGAUUAAGCUAGUGUGGGGCCUGUAGCAUAUUUUAUAAAGGGGCCCUAAGUUAAAAAAACAUAUAUAAAAACAAAAAAUUUUUACUAGCAUAGUAAAGUAAUUGUAUCUUUUUCCAUU